GCAAGUCGAGGGGCAGCAUAAAAGUAGCAAUACUUGGUGGCGACCGGCGCACGGGUGAGUAACGCGUAUGCAACCUACCUAUCAGAGGGGAAUAACCCGGCGAAAGUCGGACUAAUACCGCAUAAAACAGGGGCACCGCAUGGUGAUAUUUGUUAAAGAAAUUCGCUGAUAGAUGGGCAUGCGUUCCAUUAGGUAGUUGGUGAGGUAACGGCUCACCAAGCCGACGAUGGAUAGGGGAACUGAGAGGUUGGUCCCCCACACUGGUACUGAGACACGGACCAGACUCCUACGGGAGGCAGCAGUGAGGAAUAUUGGUCAAUGGGCGGGAGCCUGAACCAGCCAAGUCGCGUGAAGGGAAAAGAAGGAUCUAUGGUUCGUAAACUUCUUUUGCAGGGGAAUAAAGUGCAGGACGUGUCCUGUUUUGUAUGUACCCUGAGAAUAAGGAUCGGCUAACUCCGUGCCAGCAGCAGC
rnacentral:rRNA from 1 species